ACAGCAGAUCCUCAUGGAAUAUCACCACAGGCCACCCUAAAAAUCCCCAAAGAACGCUAUAACCACCGCCGCCAUCAUCGAUGAUCAACAAACCAUCCACCAUCUCCGUACCCCUGGUUAUCCUUCAUCUCUGGCAUUCAAAUCCAAUUUUCAGCCUUAUUUUGAGACAGAUCCGACCACUUUUCACCCUUUUUGAGCGGUUGACCAUUGCUGACCGCGAGAUGGCUAAUCCAAACAUCAGGAUAACAGAAGAUGCACCGUAUUUCGCGCGCCUAGUACUUUGCUUCGCUCGUGUAGACAAAUGAGGUGAAGUUGGUGUUUUCAGCUGAAAGAAGUUGAUAAGACGUCAGGUGGAAGAUAAUGAAAUUGUAUCUAUCUAGAGUGGAUGGAGUUUCUAUCGGUAUGAGCAGUGAGGAGUCGUGAUCUCAGGUCUAGUUGGGCACUAUCAUUGGUAGUACAUGAAUUAUUAGUAUUAUUAUCAGUCUAUUUUUAUCUUAGUUGAAUUAGCCAUUGUAAAUUUAAUUGUGGUUCUUGACAAAUACCUUGCUUAUCUAGUUAUGUAACUUUGCAUUUUGUGACAAAAUUCUGAAGCAUGACAAGUUAUUUUCCAUUA